rnacentral:rRNA from 1 species
UUUUAUUUGAGAGUUUGAUCCUGGCUCAGGAUGAACGCUGGCGGCGUGCUUAACACAUGCAAGUCGAGCGAAGCACUUAUGAAAGAUUCUUCGGAUGAUUUCAUUUGUGACUGAGCGGCGGACGGGUGAGUAACGCGUGGGUAACCUGCCUCAUACAGGGGGAUAACAGUUGGAAACGACUGCUAAUACCGCAUAAGCGCACAGUACCGCAUGGUAUAGUGUGAAAAACUCCGGUGGCAUGAGAUGGACCCGCGUCUGAUUAGCUAGUUGGUGGGGUAA